rnacentral:rRNA from 1 species
CAGUAGCCGCGGUAACACGUAGGUGGCAAGCGUUGUCCGGAAUUAUUGGGCGUAAAGGGCUCGCAGGCGGUUUCUUAAGUCUGAUGUGAAAGCCCCCGGCUCAACCGGGGAGGGUCAUUGGAAACUGGGAAACUUGAGUGCAGAAGAGGAGAGUUGAAUUCCACGUGUAGCGGUGAAAUGCGUAGAGAUGAGGAGGAACACCAGUGGCGAAGGCGACUCUCUGGUCUGUAACUGACGCUGAGGAGCGAAAGCGUGGGGAGCGAACAGGAUUAGAUACCCGGGUAGUCCCUGUCUCUUAUAC